AAUAGAUACCCCGGUAGUCCACGCCGUAAACGAUGAGUGCUAGGUGUUGGGGGUUUCCGUCCUCUGUGCCGAAGGUAACCCAAUAAGCACUCCGCCUGGGGAGUACGGCCGCAAGGCUGAAACUCAAAGGAAUUGACGGGGGCCCGCACAAGCGGUGGAGCAUGUGGUUUAAUUCGAAGCAACGCGAAGAACCUUACCAGGGCUUGACAUCCCGCUGACCGGUGUAGAGAUACACCUUCCCUUCGGGGCAGCGGUGACAGGUGGUGCAUGGUUGUCGUCAGCUCGUGUCGUGAGAUGUUGGGUUCAGUCCCGCAACGAGCGCAACCCUUGUCGUCAGUUGCCAGCACAUGAUGGUGGGCACUCUGGCGAGACAGCCGGUGAAAGCCGGAGGAAGGUGGGGAUGACGUCAAAUCAUCAUGCCCCUUAUGUCCUGGGCUACACACGUGCUACAAUGGCCGGUACAACGGGCAGCGAACCCGUGAGGGGGAGCCAAUCCCAAAAAACCGGUCUCAGUUCGGAUCGCAGG
rnacentral:rRNA from 1 species